rfam:Pan troglodytes isolate Yerkes chimp pedigree #C0471 (Clint) chromosome 7, whole genome shotgun sequence.
GCCGGGUGUGGUAGCCCACACCUGUAAUCCUAGCACUUUGGGAGGCAGAGGCGGGCAGAUCACCUGAGGUCAGGAGUUCAAGACCAGCCUGGCCAACAUGGUGAAACCCCGUCUCUA